AUCUCUUCUCGGCCUUUUGGCUAAGAUCAAGUGUAGUAUCUGUUCUUAUCAGUUUAGUAUCUGAUACGCGCUCUAUCCGAGGACAAUAUAUUUAGUGGAUUUUUGUGGCAAAGAGAUGGAAUAGGAGCUUGCUCCGUCCACUCCACACAUCACGCAUCCAUCUAGUAUUGCAGUACCUCCAGGAACAGUGCGCCCCCU